rnacentral:rRNA from 1 species
UACGUAGGGCGCAAGCGUUAUCCGGAAUUAUUGGGCGUAAAGAGCUUGUAGGCGGUUUGUCGCGUCUGCUGUGAAAAUCCGGGGCUCAACCCCGGACUUGCAGUGGGUACGGGCACACUUGAGUGCGGUAGGGGAGACUGGAAUUCCUGGUGUAGCGGUGAAAUGCGCAGAUAUCAGGAGGAACACCGGUGGCGAAGGCGGGUCUCUGGGCCGUAACUGACGCUGAGGAGCGAAAGCGUGGGGAGCGAACAGG